GACUCCGUAGCCCAAUGGAUAAGGCGCUGGUCUACGAAACCAGAAGACUCUGGGUUUGAUCCCCAGCGCAGUCG
rfam:Zostera marina strain Finnish scaffold_22, whole genome shotgun sequence.